rnacentral:rRNA from 1 species
CUCCUACGGGAGGCAGCAGUGGGGAAUAUUGCACAAUGGGCGCAAGCCUGAUGCAGCGACGCCGCGUGAGGGAUGACGGCCUUCGGGUUGUAAACCUCUUUCAGUAGGGACGAAGCGCAAGUGACGGUACCUACAGAAGAAGCACCGGCCAACUACGUGCCAGCAGCCGCGGUAAUAC